rnacentral:snRNA from 1 species
GUGCUCACUUUGGCAGCACAUAUACUAAAACUGGAAUGAUACAGAGAAGAUUAGCAUGGCCCCUGUGCAAGGAUGACAUGCAAAUUCAUGAAGCAUUCCGUAUUUUU